UUUUAGCCCUGAUAGCAGUGGAAAUCCUUUUUUUGAAAAGGGCUGUUUUUUGUUAAAGAAAAAAAGCGACCAGCGGAAGCUCUUUUUUCUUUUUUACAAAAAAAGACGUUUUGAAAAAAGAUUAUAACGAAUAGCAGGAUUAGCU
rnacentral:sRNA from 1 species